rnacentral:rRNA from 1 species
AUACAGAGGGUGCGAGCGUUAAUCGGAAUUACUGGGCGUAAAGCGCGCGUAGGCGGCUUGGUCAGUCGGAUGUGAAAGCCCCGGGCUCAACCUGGGAAUGGCAUUCGAUACUGCCAGGCUAGAGUAUGAGAGAGGGAAGUGGAAUUUCCGGUGUAGCGGUGAAAUGCGUAGAUAUCGGAAGGAACACCAGUGGCGAAGGCGACUUCCUGGCCCAAUACUGACGCUGAGGUGCGAAAGCGUGGGGAGCGAACAGUAUUAGAUACCCCAGUAGUCC